GAAAGGUUCUGGGAAACUUUAAGUAAGCUUGCCUCUGGAGAAAACACUUUUGGCCCCUGUUCCAAUCUUGGCAAGCAUCUCCAUCUUCUGGCUGAGGGAGAAGAAACCCCUUCAUCCUUUUCCAGUUAGUGCCUCUUUCUAGACCUAACUUCCUGAGCUUAUGCUGAAAUCCUGUUAACAAUCCUGUAGGAGAGGCAAGUGACUUCAGAUUAGACCACUAAAGAUAAGGCUGAGCAGGGGGAGCAGUUGCCAGAGCCAUUCAUUGAUGUGUCCACAGUGCCUGCUUGGGGAAGUCCCUGUGAUAGGCCUACAGAAAUAUAUUAUUAUAGACAUGUACAAAACAUUUUGAGUGUUUCUAGAAAUGUGUAAAAGCUACUCUGUGGGGGCAAGGGCAAGUGGAAAAUUCAAGGGCUCUGAUUGAGAAGUUUAAGGAGGUAUCUGUCUGCUCACAUGGACAAUCUCCUUUCCCACAGUGUCCACCGCAGACCUUGGUCUCCACGUGGAAUUGAAGCCACUGCUAAGAAAUCAAAUACUGUGCAGACCAAGCCUUACACAUAAAAGUAGAGUUGGCACAGGAAGCACAAGAAGAAAAAGUAAGAAGUCUCAUCCAGGUCCAGGAACCCCUGGACGUCUCAGGGACACUGGAGUAAGAGUGAGCCCAGGCCAGCCUCAGCCAGCUCUGCAGGAGAGGCAGAAGCUGCACUUGACUUUGGUUUCAGCCACGUGCACUCUGUCAGACUGCCAUCUGCUAAACUCUUUCCAUCACUCCCUCUGCUUUUAUGUCACACACCUGUAGUCCCCUCCCUCAUAGAGAUCUUAUGGGCCCCAAAGUGAGAUCCUUAUUAGAAAGUACAAAGAGAAGAAAAAGCGUGGGUCUGGAAAUCAGGCCAGAGCUCUUGGACCAUGUACCCGAGGACACCAUCCUUUCCUUCUCUGAUCUCAGUUCCAUAUUUUAAAGGGACAAGAGGCUCAAGAUUUUCUCCCCUGCCACCUGUGUAGCACCCCGUUUUCCCCCAUCACAGCAGCCCUAUUGGGAUUACUUCAUGUGUCAGCCUACCGGAUUAUGAGGUCAGUCCAAGAGGGGCCAGGUCUGUCUUACACAUCCUGUGUCCUCAGUGCAGUGGCAGGUACACAGGUACUCAAAAAUAUUUCUGUUGCAUGAGGAAGGAAGGAGGAAGAUAGCCUUACAAGCCCCAGGGACCUAUUUGCAUGAAGGCUGCUAGGAGUCCUGAAAGUUCCUGCAAAUUAACAAGGAAGAAAACUGGUUUUCUCCAUUCCCUAAAAAGGAAAAACAGUGAAGCAAGUGGCAAAUGACAAAAUAGGAUGUGGUCUAGAUUUUCAGGCUCUACAACCCUGAAAAAGCAAAGUUACCUGUGGGCCCCCAAACCUUGUGAACCUCCCAGGCUGGUCCUUCCCAGGGGGUAGACUGACUAUAGUGGCUUUUUUCCAAUGGUGUUAGAGGCCUGAGGCUUUGCCAAAGCCAACAGAUGAGACUCUGUUAGGGCUUUAUAGUUUACACAUAUUUUUUGUUUAUUUGUUUGCUGUGCUGGGCAUGGAACCCAGGACCUCCUGCAUGUGAGGCCACCCAGCCCUACACACACAUUUUCUUAUUCUUCAAAGAACUCUGUAGAAUAGGGAGAUUGCCUGGGGGCUGAGGAAGAAGGGUGACAUUAGAACAGAGUGGGACCUGGGAAGGACUGACUAGAAGGGACAUCAGAGUUGAAAGCCCCAGAGUUUUCCCCCUACCGGGAAUAAUUUGGAGGGGACUCUGAUGUGUGCCCUUAACACACACAAUAUCAGAAAAGGGAGGAAGGGGUGACUGAGCAGGUGGACUUGGAAUCUCAGCAGGUCUAUGUCAUGACAAAUACCGCUGAAUAUAAUCUGGGUUCUUGAUUUAAAAACGGGAGCCGGGGGAAGGAAAAACGGAGAGAGAUUUAGCAUUAGAUUACUUUUACAAUAACCCAACUCAUACUCAAAUUUUGGAGUCACAGAACCAAAUGCCUUGCCUUCUACAGGAGUAUCCCCAACUCUCCACAACAUCAACAUCACUGGCAACCAUUUGGUUCAGCUUUUCCUCCCACAGGAUGGGACUGGGGCGUGGUAAGUGAGGCAGUGCCUGGAGGGGCAAACCGUAAGAGGUGCCAAAAAAAAAAACUCAGUAAACAUGUUCAAAAACUUUUUUCAAAGACUCAAAAUCAAUGCCAAAAAAGUUCACAGUGAACAAAAUAUCAGUACUUUCAAUACAGACAGGAUCUAGCCCCGUACUUGCUCAACAUGUGAAUGCCUCUUCAAACUCACCACGAUCCUAGCUCUGAGCAAACUCCUUCUCGUUUUGGGACAUUUACACUUGCUGUUCUUUCAGUCUGGAACAUUCCUUCCAGAUCCUUACCUCCUUGGCUCCCUCUCACUGUUUAGGUUUCUAUUCUAAUGUCAUCUUUCCAGAAAAACGUUUCCUUCUCUGACUUACGACGGAAAAGUCACCCAUUCCCGUCCCCACUGCUGUCUUCUUACAAUUACUCUCUGUCCUGUCACAGUUUUAUCUGACCACUAUGCAAUUGUUUUAUUUGCUUAUGUAUUUGCUAAUCCCUCUUCAGUGGUUUUUUGCACAUAAUACAUGCUCAAAAAAUAUUUAUUGAAUGAAUAAAGUAAGCUCCCGUCUAUCAGAGCUCAUGCAAAGGG
rnacentral:lncRNA from 1 species